AUUGAACGCUGGCGGCGUGCCUAACACAUGCAAGUCGAGCGGCAGCGCGGGAGCAACCCUGGCGGCGAGCGGCGGACGGGUGAGUAAUGCUUGGGAAUCUGCCUGUUAGUGGGGGACAACCCGGGGAAACUCGGGCUAAUACCGCAUACGCACUACGGUGGAAAGCCGGGGACCGCAAGGCCUGGCGCUAACAGAUGAGCCCAAGUCGGAUUAGCUAGUUGGUAGGGUAACGGCCUACCAAGGCGACGAUCCGUAACUGGUCUGAGAGGACGACCAGUCACACCGGAACUGAGACACGGUCCGGACUCCUACGGGAGGCAGCAGUGGGGAAUAUUGGACAAUGGGGAAACCCUGAUCCAGCGACGCCGCGUGGGUGAAGAAGGCCUGCGGGUUGUAAAGCCCUUUCAGUGGGGGAAGAAAAGCCUCGACCUAACACGUCGGGGUCUUGACGUAACCCAUAGAAGAAGCACCGGCUAACUCUGU
rnacentral:rRNA from 1 species